rnacentral:tRNA from 1 species
UAAGAAUUAGUUAAAUACUUAUAUAUAACAUUAAAUUGUCAAUUUAAAAUAAUUUUUUUUAAAAUAUUCUUAA